rnacentral:RNase_P_RNA from 1 species
CAGGUCGGCUGGGCGAUCGCGGGGCGCCUCUUUUCGGGGAGGGGCCGCGAGGAAAGUCCGGGCUCCGCAGGGCAGGGUGGUGGGUAACACCCACUCGGGGCAACCCGCAGGCCAGUGCCACAGAAAACAGACCGCCCGGGCAGUAUGCCCGGGUAAGGGUGAAACGGCGGUGUAAGAGACCACCAGCUCCGCGGGCGACCGCGGAGGCUCGGUAAACCCCACUCGGAGCAAGGCCAGACAGGGUGCGUUUGAGGGCUGCCCGCCCAAGCGCCCGGGUAGGCCGCUCGAGGCCGUCGGCAACGGCGGCCCUAGAUGGAUGAUCGCCUCCCGCGUCCGGGCAACCGGGCGCGGAGACAGAACCCGGCUCACAGGCCGGCCUGGCCU